rnacentral:rRNA from 1 species
AGCGGCGAACGGGUGAGUAACACGUGGGUAACCUGCCCUGGAGUGGGGGAUAGCUCCUCGAAAGAGGGGGUAAUACCGCAUACGGUCGCCGGGUCAUAAGGCCUGGCGGGGAAAGGCUGGGACCCUUCGGGGCCAGCCGCUCCUGGAUGGGCCCGCGCCCGGUUAGCUAGUUGGUGAGGUAACGGCUCACCAAGGCUGCGAUCGGUAGCCGGCCUGAGAGGGUGAUCGGCCACAUUGGGACUGAGACACGGCCCAGACUCCUACGGGAGGCAGCAGUGGGGAAUCUUGGGCAAUGGGCGCAAGCCUGACCCAGCGACGCCGCGUGGGGGAUGAAGGCCUUCGGGUUGUAAACCCCUGUCAGGGGGGGCGAAAGCCUCUCGGUGAAUAGCCGGGAGGUUUGACAGUACCCCCAAAGGAAGCCCCGGCUAACUCCGUGCCAGCAGCCGCGGUAAUACGGAGGGGGCUAGCGUUAUUCGGAAUUACUGGGCGUAAAGCGCGCGCAGGUGGCGCAAUAAGUGGCUGGUGAAAGCCCUCGGCUCAACCGAGGAACUGCCUGCCAAACUGCUGCGCUUGAGGCCGGGAGGGGGAAGCGGAAUUCCUGGUGUAGCGGUGAUAUGCGUAGAUACCAGGAGGAACACCGGUGGCGAAGGCGGCUUCCUGGACCGGUUCUGACACUCAUGCGCGAAAGCGUGGGGAGCAA